GAGGGGCAGCGGCGGUGAGGGGCAGCGGUGCGGGCCUGAGGCACUGCUCUGGGGUGUGCCUGAGCCCACCCCACAACAAUGGUGGCCGAUAAGGGAGCUGCUUAGGAUCCAUGGAAGAGGCCAGGCAAGAACCCAGGGGAAGAACCCAGGGGCCUCAACGCAGGGCCCGUUCUGUCCUAGGGGGUGGGGCCCCUGCCUUCCAACGUGGGGCCUGUUUCCGUCCUGGGGGUGGGGCCCCUGCCUGCCAACGGGGGGCCUCUUCUGUCCUAGGGGGUGAGGGGGUGAGGGGGUGGGGCCCCUGCCCCGGCACUCGGGCUCUGGCCUUCCUGAAUCGCCCCUUCCUUGCUUCUCUUCCGCCGGCCAGGCCUCUGCUCUCCGGGGCUACGGCCUCCCACAGGCACGUUCCUACACCCCUCUGUGAACUGCCCACGGGCCCCCCACCACAGGUGCUCCUCUGUGAGCUGGUCGGGCGGCUGGGGCCGGGGCCGGGCUCCGCUGCUCCGUGCCUUCCACCUCCCUGGCGGUGCGGGGCCUCAGGGUGGGCCUGGGAAGCUGGAAACACCUUUGGAAACAGCCGCCUGAGGCAGCUGUGGACAGGAGACCCUGCCCAGCAGCCAAGGGAGCUGGCCUCUCCGCGCAGCCUCCCCACCCCCACCAGGCCCAGCUGUUGUUUUCACGGCUCCGGGACCAGGCGGAUCCUCAGCCAAGAGCUUCCCAGGAGAGCCCUCAUCUUCAACCCCUAGUGGCGACCAGAGCCAGCCCGGGCAGGAGGGGAAGGAAGGCGGCCGCGGCCCCGGGGAAGCCAUCCUGGCAGCUUGGCCACUGGCCCGGCUCCUGUCUGACCAGGAAAGGCAUCAAAGCCGGACUCGGAUGGAGGCUGGAAAACCCCGAGACUUCUUCUGGACCCGACCCAGCCACACACCAGGCUGUGCUCAAGGCCACGGAAUGAGCCUCGACCCUGGCCCCAGACGGAGCCCAGACCUUGCUGGUCACAGGCUGAGCCCUGCUGGCAAUAUGAUGUACUAGAUCCCUUAAAAGGCCUUCCAGCAACAACCAACUUCUGGAUGAAUGACUAUGAGCGUACAUUUUUAAUAGACUAUUGUGUUUCCAAGAAAGUAAAUAUCUCCGAGGCUCCCCCAAAAUUAAGCAGCAAAAAUAAAUAAGGCCAGGUGGGGUGGCUCAUGCCUGUAAUCCCAACACUUUAGGAGGCUGAGGCGAGAGGAUUGCUUGUGCCUAGGAGUUCGAGACCAGCCUGGGCAACAUGAUGAGACCCCGUCUCUACAAAAAAAUUUAAAAUUAGCUGGGUGUGGUGGUGCACUCUAGUCACAGCUACUUGGGAGGCUGAGGCAGGAGGAUCACUUGAGCCCGGGAGGGUGAGGCUGCAGGGAGCUAGGAGCUCACCACUGCACUCAGACUGGGCGGCAGAGCAAGACUCUGUCUCUAAGUAAACAAACCAACAGAGUAGUGUGGAGGCCUGGAUGAUGAAGGGAAGUGGUUGGGAAAGCAGAUAACUCCCUGGACACACACAGGGACAGAGAGCCAGCCUGCGGCCAGGGGACAAGUAUGUUUCUCUGCCUAGGGGCUGCUAAACCAGGGGUCUCAAGGGUCACUGAGGGGGCCGAGGGUGGUCUCGCCUGGAAAAGGGGAAUAGUCUCUGGAGGGAAGCAUCCCCAAGUUGGACCUCAGAAUUGUCUCCGAUAACAGCUGACAAUUAAACAACCAAACGUUCAGAGAAACACCGUGCUACUGAUGAGAAUCAGCAGAAACAACAGUCACAGAUUUAGACCCCCGAAGACUAGGACACUGGAAUUAUUUAGUACAGAAUAUAAAAUAACUAUAUAUGAAAUAUGUUUAAGAAGUGGAAACUGUAAUCUAAAAAGCAAGCAUGUAUCAAGAGACCAUAAAAAAAAUCAGACAAAUCUAAAACACAAUCAGAUGUAACUUUUAGAUAUGCUAACCCUUUUUUUUUUUUUUUUUUUGAGAUGGAGUUUCACUUUGUCACCCAGGCUGGAGUGCAGUGGCACCCUCUCAGCUCACUCCAACCUCUGCCUCCAGCGUUCAAAUGAUUCUUGUGCCUCAGCCUCCUGAGUAGCUGGGACUACAGCUGUGCACCACCAUGGCCAGCUAAUUUUUUUUGUUGUUUUUUUGUUUGUUUUUAAGAUGGAGUCUUGCUCUUGUUGUCCAGGCUGGAGUGCAAUGGCGUGAUUUCGGCUCACUGCAAUCUCUGCCUCCUGGGUUCAAGCGAUCCUCCUGCCUCAGCCUCCCAAGUAGCUGAGGUUAUAGGUGCCCACCACCACGCCCAGCUAAUUUUUUUUUUUUUUUUUUUUUUUGAGACGGAGCCUCGCUCUGUCGCCCAAGCUGGAGUGCAGUGGCGUGAUCUC